rnacentral:rRNA from 1 species
GGAUUACGGAUUAGAAUCAGGAUUGAUUUUUUGAAGGUGGAUUUGUGAGUAAUUAUUUUUGUAUGUUUAAUAAGUGAAGGGUGGAAUAACAUGUGUACAUAUUGCCCGUCGCUCUCGUUGUUUUUGAGAUAAGUCGUAACAUAGUUGAUGAACUGGAAAGUGUAUCUUUUUGA